UACAGAGGGGGCAAGCGUUGUCCGGAUUUACUGGGCGUAAAGAGCGCGCAGGCGGUCGAAUAAGUCGAAUGUGAAAGCCCCCGGCUUAACUGGGGAGGGUCAUUCGAUACUGCUCGACUUGAAGGCAGGAGAGGGAAGUGGAAUUCCCGGUGUAGUGGUGAAAUUCGUAGAUAUUCGCAAGAACACCAGUGGCGAAGGCGGCUCACUGGCCCGGUACUGACGCUGAGGUGCGAAAGCGUGGGGAGCAAACAGG
rnacentral:rRNA from 1 species